UGCCUUCACCGGGGGUGCUUUGCAGUGAUGCAAGGCUGAGAAAAACCCUUAUAACCUGCUCUGGUUAAAACCUGCGGAGGGAGUGUGAGACCAGACUAUU
rnacentral:ncRNA from 1 species